UAUUUUGUACCUGCAGCACUGUUUUUAUUCAUUGUUCAAAUGUGAUUAAAUCCACACACCAUUAGAUGUAAUGCACCUCACAGAGGUUUUUAUUUUAUAAUAACUAUGUACAAGUUAUAAACAAAUCUAAAAAUAAACAAAAAAGGAGUAAAGCAGCAUUCAACUGUUGCGCUGUUACAGUGAACAGUCAGAAAUAUCUUUAGUUUCUCUAGGCUCUGAAACAAGUAACAUCAGGAGAAAAUCAAACAAGGUGCGAAAUGCUGGUGGAGUGUGUUCUGAGCUCCACUUUCAGAUCAAACACCAUGACAGAAAAGCUUCAGAACAGCACAGAUAAUCCAGAGAGUUUAACACCAUCUACAGUGUUACACGCAUGUACUGUAUGAUGUCAUUCCCUCAGAACCGACACACAAGACUUACAGGGACAGUUCUCCGAAAAUAACAAUUCUCUCAUCAUUUACUCACCCUCACGUUAUUCCAAACCUGUAUGAGUUUCUGUCUUCUGUUGAACACAAAAGCAGGUAUUCUGAAGAAUGUUGGCAACCAAACAUUUGCUGGUAGCCUUUGACUGCCAUAGUAUUUUUUUUUUUCCAUAUUAUGGAGGUCAGUGGGUACCAGAAACUGUUCUCUUACCAGCGUUCUUCAAAAUAUCAGGUUUGGAGCAACUUGAGGGUGAGUAAAUGAUGACAGAAUUUUCCUUUUUUUUUUUUUUUUUGGUUAACUGUCCCUUUAAUCCUCCUCUUGUGCUACACGCAAGUGUCCAGCAGAGGGAGACAUACUGAUCCAUUACUGACUGCUGAAUGACAGAUGAAGAUGAAGAUGAAGAUGAACUGAAUGUACUGAAGAUGUACUGAAGUGACCUAAAGACAAAAAAGAGAGCAAUUAUAAUACAAUACAACUAGAUUUGUCAAAACAAACUUUAUGUUGACUGAGAAAGCCUAGCCAGAGAGUUUGGAUCAGGUUUUUUUUUAAUAGUUUAUUUGGUUGUUGCUAAGGUACUUUAAACUGUUUCUAGGGUGUCGCUAUGCAGUUGCUAGUGUGUUCUGGUUGGUUUCUUAAGUGUUGCUAUGUGGUUGCUAGGGUCUUGUGGCAGGUGCCAUGCAGUUGCUAAGGUAUUAUAGGUGGUUACUAGGGUGUUGUUAUGUGGUUGCUAGGGUAUUUUGAAUGGUUGUUAGGCGGUUGCUAUGUUUUGGGUGAAGUUCUUCUGAAGGUUUUAAUGCUAGGGUUCUACUUUGUUGUUGCUGGGGUAUUCUGGAUGGUUUCUAGGUGGUUGCUAAGGUAUUUUGGGCCGUUUCUAUGGUGUUGCUAUUCAGUGUUCAGGGAAGUUGCUUAGGUGUUGCUGUGUGGUUGCUAGGGUAUUGUGGCUGGUGCCCUGCAGUUAUUAUAGUUGGUUACUCCGGUGCUGGUAUGUGGUUGCUACGGUGUUCUGAAUGGUUGCUAGGAUUUGGGGGAAGUUCUUCUGAAGGUUUUAACGCUGGGGGUGUUCUGGGUGGAUGCUAGGUGGUUUCUAAGGUAUUCUGGGCUAUUUCUAGGGUGUUGUUAUGCAAUUGCUAGUGUGUUCUGAGUGGUUACUUAGGUGUUGCUAUGUGGUUGCUAGGUUGUUUCCGAUGCUAAAAAAAGCCAAAAACACAUUUAAUUCUUAUUUCAGUUCCACACAUCACUUGUAUCUCCUUCUCUGUAGACGAUCUGUGAAUCUCACCUCAUCUCUGACCGUUUCUGAUUCUGAAUGAAACUCUACAAGUCUGUCUAUAUCCAGAAACACUGGAAUAAACAAAAACAAUUAUAAGUUUAAAUCAGGACUUCAUCAAGAAAAGAAUAUGACAUAUAGGAGAGACCGGGGCAAGUUGUCAC
ensembl:lncRNA